rnacentral:rRNA from 1 species
UACUCGAGUGGCGAACGGGUGAGUAACACGUGGGUGAUCUGCCCUGCACUUCGGGAUAAGCUUGGGAAACUGGGUCUAAUACCGGAUAGGAGCCAUUUUUAGUGUGAUGGUUGGAAAGUUUUUCGGUGUAGGAUGAGCUCGCGGCCUAUCAGCUUGUUGGUGGGGUAAUGGCCUACCAAGGCGGCGACGGGUAGCCGGCCUGAGAGGGUGAUCGGCCACAUUGGGACUGAGAUACGGCCCAG